UACGAAGGGGGCUAGCGUUGCUCGGAAUCACUGGGCGUAAAGGGUGCGUAGGCGGUCGUUCAAGUCGCGUGUGAAAGCCCCCGGCUCAACUGGGGAGGGUCACGCGAUACUGAUCGACUCGAAGGCAGGAGAGGGUAGUGGAAUUCCCGGUGUAGUGGUGAAAUGCGUAGAUAUCGGGAGGAACACCAGUGGCGAAGGCGACUACCUGGCCUGUUUCUUGACGCUGAGGCGCGAAAGCUAGGGGAGCAACGGG
rnacentral:rRNA from 1 species